AUUGAACGCUGGCGGCAUGCUUUACACAUGCAAGUCGAACGGUAACAGGCCGCAAGGUGCUGACGAGUGGCGAACGGGUGAGUAAUGCAUCGGAACGUGCCCAGUCGUGGGGGAUAACGCAGCGAAAGCUGCGCUAAUACCGCAUACGAUCUAUGGAUGAAAGCGGGGGACCGUAAGGCCUCGCGCGAUUGGAGCGGCCGAUGUCAGAUUAGGUAGUUGGUGGGGUAAAGGCUCACCAAGCCAACGAUCUGUGGCUGGUCUGAGAGGACAACCAGCCACACUGGGACUGAGACACGGCCCAGACUCCUACGGGAGGCAGCAGUGGGGAAUUUUGGACAAUGGGCGCAAGCCUGAUCCAGCAAUGCCGCGUGCAGGAAGAAGGCCUUCGGGUUGUAAACUGCUUUUGUACGGAACGAAACGGCUCUGGUUAAUACCUGGGGCUAAUGACGGUACCGUAAGAAUAAGCACCGGCUAACUACGUGCCAGCCGCCGCCGUAAAAC
rnacentral:rRNA from 1 species